rnacentral:rRNA from 1 species
CAGCCGCCGCGGUAAAACGAAGGGGGCUAGCGUUGUUCGGAAUUACUGGGCGUAAAGCGCACGUAGGCGGAUAUUUAAGUCAGGGGUGAAAUCCCGCAGCUCAACUGCGGAACUGCCUUUGAUACUGGGUAUCUUGAGUAUGGAAGAGGUUAGUGGAAUUGCGAGUGUAGAGGUGAAAUUCGUAGAUAUUCGCAGGAACACCAGUGGCGAAGGCGGCUAACUGGUCCAUAACUGACGCUGAGGUGCGAAAGCGUGGGGAGCAAACAGGAUUAGAGACCCCUGUAGUCCCUGUCUCUUAUAA